rnacentral:Y_RNA from 1 species
AGCUGGUCGGUAGGUACUGAAUUAUCUCAUUAUUCACAGUCAGUUACAGAUUGAACUCCUUGGUCUACACCCCCCCACCCCUUUCUCAGUACUGUACUUGCCUAGUCUAAA